AACGAACGCUGGCGGCAUGCCUAACACAUGCAAGUCGAACGAGACCUUCGGGUCUAGUGGCGCACGGGUGCGUAACGAGGGGGAACCUGCCCUUAGGUUCGGAAUAACUCCCCGAAAGGGGUGCUAAUACAGGUUAAUGUAUUAGGACCAAAGAUUUAUCGCCUUUGGAUGGGCCCGGGUUGGAUUAGCGAGUUGGUAGUGUAAAAGCCUACCAAGGCGACGAUGCAUAGCUGGUCUGUUAGGAUGACCAGCCACACUGGGACUGAGACACGGCCCAGACUCCUACGGGAGGCAGCAGUAGGGAAUAUUGGACAAUGGGCGAAAGCCUGAUCCAGCAGUGCCGCGUAAGUGAGGAAGGCCUUAGGGUUGUAAAGCUCUUUUACCCGGGAUGUUAAUGACAGUACCGGGAGAAUAAGCUCCGGCUAACUCCGUG
rnacentral:rRNA from 1 species